rnacentral:lncRNA from 1 species
AUAUGGUAGUUCUAGUUUUAGUUUUUUGAAAAACCUCCAUACUGUUUUUCAUAAUGGCUGUACUAUCUUAUAUUCCCACCAACAGGGUACAAAGGUUCGCCUUUCUCUGCAUCCUCACCAGCAUCUGUUAUUCCCUGCCCUUUUGAUAAAAGCCAUUUUAACGGAGGUCUGCCACAAAUGUAUGCAGAGGCCCAGGAGGAGCCAAGACUGAAAACCGGAGGGCCUAAGUCAGCGUUUCUCAGGAUGUGAUGUGCAGAGACCUCAAUCUGAAUUAUCCUGCAGACCACCUUGGUCCCACCCAGACCACUGAAUCCAAACCUCUGGGGGUGGGCCCUAGAAUCUGCUCUUCCAACAGGACAAACACCCCCUUUCCACUGCACUGUAAAGUCUGGGGCUCACCAGCCACAGACCUGACUAUAGCUCAAAUGCUGUGUGUCUUUAUCUCCUGUGCACUAGGGAAAGAACCAGGAGAGGACAGCAUAGGGGGAAGCCCAGGUCAUCCUGUGACCUCCCCCCCUCUGCUGGAGUGACCCCUUCCUCUGGUUCAAAAUCUCCAACAACAGGAUGCAGACACGCCCUAGACCUCCCUGUGUGGUGAGAUUACUUGAGGACCUGAGGUAGAACGCUUUCAGGAUGGAAACGUCUCAAGACUUGGAGUCAGACCCAUUUAGGUUCAACAAGUGGUUCUGCCACUCAGUAGCACUGAGCACACGUAGAGUCCAGAUCUUGGUUUCCAAUCAAAGGAAUCAGAGCUCCUUGGAAAGAUGGCUGAUUCUAAGGCUGGGGCAGGAAACAUGCAAGAUGAGCCUGGAGCUUCUCGUAGUGACAGGAAGUAAGGAAGCACUCAAGUGUCCCCCCCACCCCCACACACCCCCACCAUUGAUGGAGCUAUGUCAGAGGGGCGCAGAGACAACUGCAAGGCUUCUAAUGGCCAAUGCUAGAACAAUGACAGCAAGGAAUAAAUAAAGUGAUAUUUAAUUAUAACCCAAAGCAUACUACAGCUGUUCAUGAUCCCAUACUGACAUAAAUAAAUUGUUGAAUAAAUUAAUAAAUGGAGAAGAAACAAACCUUCCAGGCAGAAGAAUUCCAAAUAAUGUAUGUAGAUGCUGCACACUGAGAGAGAUAAAGCAUAGCUCCCCACUCCUAAGUGUGGGCUACACAUAGUCACUUUCUGCUCAAGAGUACAGGAUGGAAAAAAGGAAAAAAAGAGUAACAUUCCAAUCACCUGCACCAUUCAGGUGAUCGAGGUCCUCAUCAACAGUCAUAAAUGGGCCAGGCACAGUGGCUCAUGCCUGUCAUCCCAGCACUUUGGGAGGCCGAGGCAAGCAGCCCACUUGAGGCCAGGAGUUCGAGACUAGCUAGCCUGGCCAACAUAGUGAAACCCCGUCUCUACUAAAAAUUAAAAAAUUAGCCCUGAGUGGUGGCACACACCUAUAAUUAAAGCUACUUGGGAGAUUGAGGCAGGUUCAAGACUCGCUUGAACCUGGGAGGCAGAGAUUUCAAUGAGCCAAGUUCGUGCCACUGCACUCCAACCUGGGUGACAGAGUGAGACUCCAUCUCAAAAAAAGAAAAAAAAAACAUAAUUCAUGUUGCUAGAGUGUCCCCUUGAUAUGGCACUUUCAUUCUGUGACCUUCCUCCCCAAAAUCUAUAACCCGUGUCCAGUCAUGUAAAAAUGAUCAAACAAAUUCCAGGAGAGGAGCAUCCUACAAUACACCUCCCUAGCACUCCUCGAAACUGUCAAGGUCAUCAGAAAAAAGGAAAGUCUGUCACGGGGUGUCCAAUCUUUUGGCUUCCCUGGGCCACACUGGAAGAAGAGGAAUUGUCUUGGGCCACACAUAAAAUAUGCUAACACUCAGGAUAGCUGGUGAGCUAAAAAAUAAAAAAGGUCCGUGCAUCAAUCUCAUAAUGUUUUAAGAGAGUUUACGAAUUUGUGUUGGGCCACAUUCCAAGCUGUCUUGGGCCACAUGUGGCCCGUGGGCAGAGGAUUGGACAGGCUUGGUCCGUCACAAUCAAUAGGAACCCAAAGAGACAGAACAACUAAAUGUCCUGUGGUAUCCUGGAUGGGGUCCUGGAACAGAAAAGAGAUACUAGGUUUAAAAAAAAAACUAAGAGAAUCGGAAUAAACGAUGGACUUUGGUUGCUAAUAAUAUAUCAAUAUUGGCUUAUUAAUUGUAACGAAUGUACCAUACAAUGUAAGGUGUUUAUUAACAGGGAAGCAAGAUGGUGGGGCUGGGCUGGGAACUCUAUCUGCUCGAUUCUUCUGAAAUAAAGAACUGCUCUGAAAAAUAUCAUAAGUGCAAAUCUUAUAAA